ACGGGAGGCAGCAGUGGGGGAUAUUGCACAAUGGGGGAAACCCUGAUGUAGCGACGCCGCGUGAGUGAUGAAGUAUUUCGGUAUGUAAAGCUCUAUCAGCAGGGAAGAAAAUGACGGUACCUGACUAAGAAGCACCGGCUAAAUACGUGCCAGCAGCCGCGGUAAUACGUAUGGAGCAAGCGUUAUCCGGAUUUACUGGGUGUAAAGGGAGCGUAGACGGGACGGCAAGUCUGAUGUGAAAUGCGGGGGCUCAACCCCUGAACUGCAUUGGAAACUGUCGACCUUGAGUGCCGGAGAGGUAAGCGGAAUUCCUAGUGUAGCGGUGAAAUGCGUAGAUAUUAGGAGGAACACCAGUGGCGAAGGCGGCUUACUGGACGGUAACUGACGUUGAGGCUCGAAAGCGUGGGGAGCAAACAGGAUUAGAUACCCUGGUA
rnacentral:rRNA from 1 species